UGUUUGUAUGUGAGCGUCAAGACAAGUAUUUUCUCCCUCUCCCUCUUCAAAGAAGGAACCUUUCAGGGAUAGCUUGUCUUCGAGCUCAAGGACAUCGCCUCGGAGCCUGCCCAUGUUGCAUCAUAUUGGGACAAAAUUUGAGACCUUGUGAGCUCUAGGAGCUAAGGAAUGAGCCUGAAGAUUCUAGAGGUUCAUGAAGAUUGGGGAGGAAGGAUUUGUGGGAGUUUAUUGCAGAUGGCAGGGGAAGAAGGAUUUCCAUGGUUUUCAAGAUGCUCAAUCAUCGUGUUUUGCAGGGAUAUUCAAUUUGCUACUGGAUGAGUACUUCAACUAUAUUAUAAGACAUCUGCUUUGCAAAAGAAGAACAUUCGGGUGUUUGAACACAUCUUUUCUAUCACUUUCGGUUCUUUAUGCCGUAUGGAUAUGCAGCUUCUGAUUGUGCUGAAACUGGCCAUCUAACAUUCAGGACUGUUCGGAGCUUUGGUGGUGUUCUAUGAGAUAAUUACAAGCUUUCAAUCAAUCGAUAAAUUGCUCUGUGAAGUAGUUUCCUGCUGAGAAUAGUGAGUUCAGCAUGAUAAUUGAUCCAUGACAAAGUAAUCAGUUCUUUAUAUAACUGCGAGGCUUGUAAUCCAUCUUAAUGCCGUAUCCCGCUCUGGAAGUUGGAUUGCUGUGUGUUUUUAUAGUUCAGGAAAUUUUUUUUUGAACAGGACAACUAAGGCUUCAUUUGUGUCAGUUUUCUUAUGGAUUGUACUAAAAAGUUGUUUUAAGAAUCAAUAAGAAAGCCGUCCUAAAUGUGAGAGAUUAUUACGUACGGAGUCCGGCCUGGAGAGCCAUUCGGUUUUCGUGAGCGUGCACAACAAAAGCAUAGUUACUGUUCACCAUUGCAUUUUUAUGCGUGUUUGCUGUGCACACUCACAAAAACCUGACACAAUUUCAAUCCGGACUCUACACGUAAUAACCUCUCUCUCAAAAUGAAGCCUAAGAGCUUGUAACUUCUUUUCUCUUUUUAAGGCUCACCUACAUUUCUACCAAUGUAGAGUUUUAGAUUAAAGGGAUGAAACUCUAGUAUUGAUGCUUAGAAAUUAGAGUGAUCAUUAGACGA